CAGAUUAUGUGCGCGCUUAUAUAAAUCAAACAAGGCCGCUGUACGCCAUUUUGGAUUAAACUAUCGCUCGCAAUGCGUCGAGCUAUAGUCGUCGCAAUGGCGCUGGCGGCCGUUGCGGUAGUACAGUGUGCAGAUUCGCCCCAGAAAGAUGCAAAUGUGACACUAUCCGACUCAAAAAUCAUAAAACCUGGUAGUAGAAACAAACGGCAAAUAGUGAGGCUAAUGCCCUAUGAGGACUCCUAUAAAUGGUGAGUCGUAAUAAUAGCCUCUAUUAUUAAAGGGGCCC